GAUUUCUGGCUUGAAACAUUUUGCCGGCCACGGUUUCGUGUGUUAGUGCUUGAUGUUCUGGCCAUCCUUCCAAUUGCUGCUGGCUAUUCUUCAUUGAUUGGUCAGUGGUAUUGGAUCUCUUACUUUGAAAAAAUUAGAGUGUUUCAAGCAGGCUUUAUGCUAUGAAUACAUUAGCAUGGAAUAAUAAUUUAGGACUUCGGUUCUAUUUUGUUGGUUUCUAGGACUGAAGUAAUGAUUGAUAGGGUCAGUUGGGGGUGCUAGUAUUCAGCGGCCAGAGGUGAAAUUCUCGGAUUCGCUGAAGACUAACUUAUGCGAAAGCAUU
rnacentral:rRNA from 1 species